CCUACGGGAGGCAGCAGUGAGGAAUAUUGGUCAAUGGACGCGAGCCUGAACCAGCCAUGUAGCGUGAAGGAUGACUGCCCUAUGAGUUGUAAACUUCUUUUAUAAAAGGAUAAAGUGAGCCACGUGUGCCUGUUUGUAUGUACUUUAUGAAUAAGGAUCGGCUAACUCCGUGCCAGCAGCCGCGGUAAUACGGAGGAUCCGAGCGUUAUCCGGAUUUAUUGGGUUUAAAGGGAGCGUAGAUGGUUUGUUAAGUUAGUGGUGAAAGUCCGCUGCUCAACCGUAAAACUGCAUCUGAUACUGGCAGACUUGAGUGCAGUUGCGGUAGGCGGAAUGCGUGGUGUAGCGGUGAAAUGCUUAGAGAUCAUGAAGAACACCGAUUGCGAAGGCAGCUUACCAAACUGUCUCUGACAUUGAGGCACGAAAGUGUGGGUAGCAAACAGGAUUAGAUACCCUUGUAGUC
rnacentral:rRNA from 1 species